rnacentral:tRNA from 2 species
GCUGUUGUAGCUUAAGUAAAGCAUAACACUGAAGAUGUUAAGAUGAACCCUAGAAAGUUCCAAGAGCA